GGAUGGGAGCUUGCUCCCUGACAUUAGCGGCGGACGGGUGAGUAACACGUGGGCAACCUGCCCUGCAGAUGGGGAUAACUCCGGGAAACCGGGGCUAAUACCGAAUAAUCAGUUCCUCCGCAUGGAGGAACUCUGAAAGACGGUUUCGGCUGUCACUGCAGGAUGGGCCCGCGGCGCAUUAGCUAGUUGGUGGGGUAAUGGCCUACCAAGGCGACGAUGCGUAGCCGACCUGAGAGGGUGAUCGGCCACACUGGGACUGAGACACGGCCCAGACUCCUACGGGAGGCAGCAGUAGGGAAUCUUCCACAAUGGACGAAAGUCUGAUGGAGCAACGCCGCGUGAGCGAAGAAGGUUUUCGGA
rnacentral:rRNA from 1 species